rnacentral:rRNA from 1 species
AGUGAACGCUGGCGGUAGGCCUAACACAUGCAAGUCGAACGGCAGCACAGUAAGAGCUUGCUCUUACGGGUGCCGAGUGGCGGACGGGUGAGGAAUACCUCGGAAUCUACUUUUUCGUGGGGGAUAACGCAGGGAAACUUACGCUAAUACCGCAUACGACCUACGGGUGAAAGCAUGGGAUCUUCGGACCUCGCGCGAUUGAAUGAGCCGAUGUCGGAUUAGCUAGUUGGCGGGGUAAAGGCCCACCAAGGCGACGAUCCGUAGCUGGUCUGAGAGGAUGAUCAGCCACACUGGAACUGAGACACGGUCCAGACUCCUACGGGAGGCAGCAGUGGGGAAUAUUGGACAAUGGGCGCAAGCCUGAUCCAGCCAUACCGCGUGUGUGAAGAAGGCCUUCGGGUUGUAAAGCCCUUUUGUUGGGAAAGAAAAGCAGCAGGUUAAUACCCCGCUGUUCUGACGGUACCCAAAGAAUAAGCACCGGCUAACUUCGUG